AGAAUCAACGCUGGCGGCGUGCCUAACACAUGCAAGUCGCACGAGAAAGGGACUUCGGUCCUGAGUACAGUGGCGCACGGGUGAGUAACACGUGAAUAAUCUACCUCCGAGUGGGGAAUAACUGAGAGAAAUCUUAGCUAAUACCGCAUAACACUUACGAGUCAAAGCGGCAAUGCGCUUGGAGAGGAGUUCGCGGCAGAUUAGUUAGUUGGCGGGUAAUGGCCCACCAAGACGAUGAUCUGUA
rnacentral:rRNA from 1 species